rnacentral:rRNA from 1 species
UACAGAGGUCUCAAGCGUUGUUCGGAUUCAUUGGGCGUAAAGGGCGCGUAGGCGGCUUGGCAAGUGGAUGGUGAAAUCCCUCGGCUUAACCGAGGAACUGCCGUCCAAACUGCUUGCUUGAGUACCGGGAGAGGUGAGUGGAAUUCCCAGUGUAGCGGUGAAAUGCGUAGAUAUUGGGAGGAACACCAGUGGCGAAGGCGGCUCACUGGACCGGUACUGACGCUGAUGCGCGAAAGCGUGGG